rnacentral:rRNA from 1 species
UGGUGGAGUGAUUUGUCUGGUUAAUUCCGUUAACGAACGAGACCUCAGCCUGCUAACUAGCUACACGAACAUUCGUGUUCGUGGCCAGCUUCUUAGAGGGACCACCGGCGCUUAGCCGUGUGGAAGUUUGAGGCAAUAACA